rnacentral:sRNA from 1 species
AGUCCGAGCGAAGCGGCUGGCGGAGCAGAACGGAUCGCAGGGUCAGCCAUGUCAUCUGAGCCUCCCCCACCACCACAGCCCCCCACCCAGCAAGCUUCAGUCGGGCUGCUGGACACCCCUCGGACCCGCGAGCGCUCACCAUCCCCUCUGCGGGGCAACGUGGUCCCAAGCCCACUGCCCACUCGCCGGACGAGGACCUUCUCAGCGUGAGUCUGGAGCGGGCUAGGGAUGCAUUCUCAGAUGGAUCUCUUGCCUGAGGCCAGAGAUUCACUGUGUAUCUGGCCAUUUUUGGGCCUAUGUCCCAGACUGUCAAAUAGGCAGACCUGGGGCUGGGCCUUGGGCUGAGGGUGAAGAAACUGGGAAGGUGCCUUGUAAAUUCAGGGUACUGCCCAGCCCAAAGAACCUGUUACCAGCUGGGAGUGGCAAUGGGUGGGCAAUUGCUGGGGUCAGAAUCGCUGGGCUUCAACCACACACGAGAGUCUGUUUCCCUGUAACUGUGAAUGCUGCAGCUGCAAAAUGGGCACAGUACCAGGGCUGCAGAGGACCCACACGAUGCCUGGCAAAUGCAGGUCUUAGGCCCUGUGAGUGGAGGAUGCUCGUGUUAUUAAUAAUUAAUCAUUAGUUUCUGGAGGGAUGCUCAGUGAUGUUUUUGAUGUUUUAGUUCAACUCCCUCUUUCCAGGUGGGAAAACAGGCCCAAGAAAAUUUGCCAGGGUCAUCCAAAGAGUCCUUUUCACCAGCGUCUGUGUGAGCGGCUCUCAGGGUUGUGCAGUCCUCAGCCUGUGUGACUGUACAUGGCGGUCCUGGCCGGGGCUUGAUGGGGCACAGCUAUGGGCAGGGGCUGGAAUGAGCUUCAUGUGCCCAGGAGUGCUGGUGGCUGUCCUGGAGCGCUGAUGGGGCCCCUCACAUUGCCCCCUCUCUGUCAGGACCGUGCGGGCUUCACAGGGCCCCGUCUACAAAGGAGUCUGCAAAUGCUUCUGCCGGUCCAAGGGCCACGGCUUCAUUACCCCAGCUGAUGGCGGCCCCGACAUCUUCCUGCACAUUUCUGAGUGAGUCAGCGGCUGGGGUGGGCGCUUCCUUGGCCCUGUGGAGGUGGGGAUGGUGUGUGACUGUGAUGGGUGCUGGCUGUGAGGACGAAUGGCCGGGCCUGUGUGACUCUGCCUUUGGCUGGUGCUCCAACUGUGCUCCUGUGUGUGUGUUGGGUUGGGGCUGUGAGACUAUACGGAGCUGUGUUGGGUGACACGGUACCUGUGAUUGUGCCUGGGUGUGUCUUUGUGAAUGGGUGUGUAAGGUUUUGUGAGUGCUGGGCGCGGUGGACCACGCCUGUAAUCCCAGCACUUUGGGAGGCCGAGGCCGGCGGAUCACGAGGUCAGGAGAUCAAGACCAUCCUGGGUAACACGGUGAAACCCUGUGUCUACUUAAAAAAAUACAAAAAAAAAUUAGCUGAGCGCAGUGGCGGGCGCCUGUAGUCCCAGCUACUCGGGAGGCUGAGGCAGGAGAAUGGCGUGAACCUGAGAGGCGGAGGUUGCAGUAAGCUGAGAUCGUGCCACUGCACUCCAGCCUGGGAGACAAGAGCAAGACUCCAUCUCAAGAAAAAAAAAAAAGUUAGCACGGUGUGGUGACAGGUGCAUGUAAUCCUAGCUACUUGGGAGGCUGAGGCAGGAGAAUCGCUUGAACCCGGGAGGUAGAGGUUGCACUGAGCCGAGAUCUCGCCAUUGCAUUCCAGCCUGGGUGACAAGGGUAAAACUCCAUCUCAAAAAAAAAAAAAAAAAAAAAAAGGUUGGGCAUGGUGGCUCACACCUGUAAUGCCAGCACUUUGGGAGGCGGGCAGAUCACCUGAGGUCAGGAGUUCAAGACCAGCCUGGCCAACAUGGUGAAAUCCUGUCAUUACAAAAAUACAAA